GGGGUUGUGGCUUAGUGGUGGAGCACUCGCCUAGCAUGUGUGAGGCCCUGGGUUCGAUCUUCAGCACCACA
rnacentral:tRNA from 1 species